AACGUGCCCUUUAGUUCAGAACAGCCACUGGAAACGGUGAGUAAUACUGGAUACGCCCUUCGGGGGAAAGAUUUAUCGCUAAAGGAUCGGCCCGCGUUGGAUUAGCUUGUUGGUGGGGUAAUGGCCUACCAAGGCGACGAUCUAUAGCUGGUCUGAGAGGAUGAUCAGCCACACUGGGACUGAGACACGGCCCAGACUCCUACGGGAGGCAGCAGUGGGGAAUAUUGGACAAUGGGGGCAACCCUGAUCCAGCCAUGCCGCGUGAGUGAAGAAGGCCCUAGGGUUGUAAAGCUCUUUCAGAUGUGAGGAUGAUGACAGUAGCAUCAGAAGAAGCACCGGCUAACUUCGUGCCAGCAGCCGCGGUAAUACGAAGGGUGCUAGCGU
rnacentral:rRNA from 1 species